rnacentral:rRNA from 1 species
GGUUAAGCGACUAAGCGUACACGGUGGAUGCCCUGGCAGUCAGAGGCGAUGAAGGACGUGCUAAUCUGCGAAAAGCGUCGGUAAGGUGAUAUGAACCGUUAUAACCGGCGAUGUCCGAAUGGGGAAACCCAGUGCAAUUCGUUGCACUAUCGUUAACUGAAUACAUAGGUUAACGAGGCGAACCGGGGGAACUGAAACAUCUAAGUACCCCGAGGAAAAGAAAUCAACCGAGAUUCCC